rnacentral:rRNA from 1 species
GCUUGUCUCAAAGAUUAAGCCAUGCAUGUCUAAGUAUAAACUGCUUUAUACGGUGAAACUGCGAAUGGCUCAUUAAAUCAGUUAUAGUUUAUUUGAUGGUACCUGGUACUCGGAUAACUGUACCAAAAGUAGAGCUAAUACGUGCGUAAAUCCCGACUCACGAAGGGACGUAUUUAUUAGAUAAAAGGCCAGCCGGGCUUGCCCGACUUGUGGUGACUCAUGAUAACUUCACGAAUCGCAUGGCCUCGCGCCGGCGAUAUUUCAUUCAAAUUUCUGCCCUAUCAAUUGGCGAUGGUAGGAUAGAGGCCUACCAUGGUGUUAACGGGUGACGGGGGAUUAGGGUUCGAUUCCGGAGAGGCAGCCUGAGAAACGGCUACCACAUCCAAGGAAGGCAGCAGG